AGCGUACACGGUGGAUGCCCUGGCAGUCAGAGGCGAUGAAGGACGUGCUAAUCUGCGAAAAGCGUCGGUAAGGUGAUAUGAACCGUUAUAACCGGCGAUGUCCGAAUGGGGAAACCCAGUGUGAUUCGUCACACUAUCGUUAACUGAAUACAUAGGUUAACGAGGCGAACCGGGGGAACUGAAACAUCUAAGUACCCCGAGGAAAAGAAAUCAACCGAGAUUCCCCCAGUAGCGGCGAGCGAACGGGGAGCAGCCCAGAGUCUGAAUCAGCUUGUGUGUUAGUGGAACGGUCUGGAAAGUCCGACGGUACAGGGUGAUAGUCCCGUACACCAAAAUGCACAGGUUGUGAACUCGAAGAGUAGGGCGGGACACGUGGUAUCCUGUCUGAAUAUGGGGGGACCAUCCUCCAAGGCUAAAUACUCCUGACUGACCGAUAGUGAACCAGUACCGUGAGGGAAAGGCGAAAAGAACCCCGGCGAGGGGAGUGAAAAAGAACCUGAAACCGUGUACGUACAAGCAGUGGGAGCACCUUCGGGUGUGACUGCGUACCUUUUGUAUAAUGGGUCAGCGACUUAUAUUCUGUAGCAAGGUUAACCGUAUAGGGGAGCCGCAGGGAAACCGAGUCUUAACUGGGCGUUAAGUUGCAGGGUAUAGACCCGAAACCCGGUGAUCUAGCCAUGGGCAGGUUGAAGGUUGGGUAACACUAACUGGAGGACCGAACCGACUAAUGUUGAAAAAUUAGCGGAUGACUUGUGGCUGGGGGUGAAAGGCCAAUCAAACCGGGAGAUAGCUGGUUCUCCCCGAAAGCUAUUUAGGUAGCGCCUCGUGAAUUCAUCUUCGGGGGUAGAGCACUGUUUCGGCUAGGGGGUCAUCCCGACUUACCAACCCGAUGCAAACUACGAAUACCGAAGAAUGUUAUCACGGGAGACACACGGCGGGUGCUAACGUCCGUCGUGAAGAGGGAAACAACCCAGACCGCCAGCUAAGGUCCCAAAGUCAUGGUUAAGUGGGAAACGAUGUGGGAAGGCACAGACAGCCAGGAUGUUGGCUUAGAAGCAGCCAUCAUUUAAAGAAAGCGUAAUAGCUCACUGGUCGAGUCGGCCUGCGCGGAAGAUGUAACGGGGCUAAACCAUGCACCGAAGCUGCGGCAGCGACACUAUGUGUUGUUGGGUAGGGGAGCGUUCUGUAAGCCUGCGAAGGUGACCUGUGAGGGUUGCUGGAGGUAUCAGAAGUGCGAAUGCUGACAUAAGUAACGAUAAAGCGGGUGAAAAGCCCGCUCGCCGGAAGACCAAGGGUUCCUGUCCAACGUUAAUCGGGGCAGGGUGAGUCGACCCCUAAGGCGAGGCCGAAAGGCGUAGUCGAUGGGAAACAGGUUAAUAUUCCUGUACUUGGUGUUACUGCGAAGGGGGGACGGAGAAGGCUAUGUUAGCCGGGCGACGGUUGUCCCGGUUUAAGCAUGUAGGCUGGUUGUCCAGGCAAAUCCGGAUAAUCAAGGCUGAGGUGUGAUGACGAGGCACUACGGUGCUGAAGUAACAAAUGCCCUGCUUCCAGGAAAAGCCUCUAAGCAUCAGGUAACAUCAAAUCGUACCCCAAACCGACACAGGUGGUCAGGUAGAGAAUACCAAGGCGCUUGAGAGAACUCGGGUGAAGGAACUAGGCAAAAUGGUGCCGUAACUUCGGGAGAAGGCACGCUGGUGUGUAGGUGAAGCCCCUGCGGGUGGAGCUGAGACCAGUCGAAGAUACCAGCUGGCUGCAACUGUUUAUUAAAAACACAGCACUGUGCAAACACGAAAGUGGACGUAUACGGUGUGACGCCUGCCCGGUGCCGGAAGGUUAAUUGAUGGGGUUAUCCGUAAGGAGAAGCUCUUGAUCGAAGCCCCGGUAAACGGCGGCCGUAACUAUAACGGUCCUAAGGUAGCGAAAUUCCUUGUCGGGUAAGUUCCGACCUGCACGAAUGGCGUAAUGAUGGCCAGGCUGUCUCCACCCGAGACUCAGUGAAAUUGAACUCGCUGUGAAGAUGCAGUGUACCCGCGGCAAGACGGAAAGACCCCGUGAACCUUUACUAUAGCUUGACACUGAACAUUGAGCCUUGAUGUGUAGGAUAGGUGGGAGGCUUUGAAGCGUGGACGCCAGUCUGCGUGGAGCCAACCUUGAAAUACCACCCUUUAAUGUUUGAUGUUCUAACGUUGGCCCCUUAUCGGGGUUGCGGACAGUGUCUGGUGGGUAGUUUGACUGGGGCGGUCUCCUCCCAAAGCGUAACGGAGGAGCACGAAGGUUAGCUAAUCCUGGUCGGACAUCAGGAGGUUAGUGCAAUGGCAUAAGCUAGCUUGACUGCGAGCGUGACGGCGCGAGCAGGUGCGAAAGCAGGUCAUAGUGAUCCGGUGGUUCUGAAUGGAAGGGCCAUCGCUCAACGGAUAAAAGGUACUCCGGGGAUAACAGGCUGAUACCGCCCAAGAGUUCAUAUCGACGGCGGUGUUUGGCACCUCGAUGUCGGCUCAUCACAUCCUGGGGCUGAAGUAGGUCCCAAGGGUAUGGCUGUUCGCCAUUUAAAGUGGUACGCGAGCUGGGUUUAGAACGUCGUGAGACAGUUCGGUCCCUAUCUGCCGUGGGCGCUGGAGAAUUGAGGGGGGCUGCUCCUAGUACGAGAGGACCGGAGUGGACGCAUCACUGGUGUUCGGGUUGUCAUGCCAAUGGCACUGCCCGGUAGCUAAAUGCGGAAGAGAUAAGUGCUGAAAGCAUCUAAGCACGAAACUUGCCCCGAGAUGAGUUCU
rnacentral:rRNA from 1 species